AAAGUCGUAACAAGGUUUCCGUAGGUGAACCUGCGGAAGGAUCAUUACAGUGUUCGCUGCCCUCGCGGGUAGCAAACCUCACCCUUGUGUAUCAUAUCUUUGUUGCUUUGGCACGCCGUCUGCGGGCACCGGCUCCGGCUGGCUUGCGCGUGUCAGAGGACCCUAAACCCUAAACGUGUGUGUCGUCUGAGGACCAUCUAAUAGUUAAAACUUUCAACAACGGAUCUCUUGGUUCUG
rnacentral:misc_RNA from 1 species